GGGCCGCGUGGGACGCGGUGCGCGCUGUGCGCUGUCAGCUCAGCGCCAGGCGGCUGUCAGCACAGAGCUGCCCUCAGCGAGCGGGAGGGCCGCUCAGAAAGAAGUGGAUCGGGAUGGCAAAGACGCUACCAAUUGGAUAGCGGGGAUCUGCGUUAAAAAAAAAAAAAAAAAAAAAAAGCCUGGCGCGCCUAUCUGUGAUCCCUCGCGGGCGGGAGGAGAACUGUAGCGCUGCGGAAGCAGAGUUGCAAACCCAUCCUGCAGAAAAAGCAGCGUCAGAAACGCGGCAGCACCGCCCGCCCUGCCAGCACGUGCAGCUGCCUUCCGCCGCCGCCGCCCCGUACCGCCCCCGGCACGGCCGCCGCCGCCUCCAUUCUCCUCCUCCUCCUCCUCCUCCUCCUCGUCGUCCCGCUGCUGCGGCGCUGGGCAGGAAGCCGCUCGCCGCCUCCCGCCGCCACCAGCACAGCUGCUGCCUGAAGAUGCGCUGCCUUUCGCACGAGGAAGAAGUUUUAAAAUAGAUGGCUUUUAAGCGGCGCUGCGUCUCCCGGCCUGCAGCCAUCCCUGCUGUCAUCAGCCCUCCUUGCCGGACGGCACCGGAACGCACGAGUGGCCCCGUUGAUGUCAGUCGAGCUGUUUGAAUGGGAGCUGUUAGGAGGGUUGCAGAACGUCGUGCUCUGCGUUUGUUCGUUAGCAAAAGACAUCAGCUCCCGCGGGCUCAGUCACAGAAACGUUCAGCGAGCAUCGAUGAAUGUCAGUGGCUGCAAUUCUUUCCCACGUGGAGGAGUUCAAUUUCACACCUUUGCUUCAUGCACGCGCCUGUGUUAGAUGCCACGUUGUCAGGCUGCCCCUCUGCUGCCAUCUGUCACACAGCGACAACAUGUAAUAGAACGUUGGUGGGAAGGUUCAACCUCUACUGCGGUACCACCACCAUCUGCCUCUGAUGUUGUGGGCCAACAUCAUAAAACAGGAGGCACUACUUUCGGAGCAACCCUCGUACGUUACACCUGGUAUUUCGCUAGUCUGUAUCUUUGCCUCAGAUAAGCGAAUGUGAUAUGGCUGGUGAACACUGCUGAUGGCACAGAAUCGUUAAGGCUGGAAAAGACCACUGAGAUCAUCUCGUCCAACCGUCAGCCCAUCCCACCAUGCCCACAGACCACGUCCCUCUGUGCCACAUCUCUCACACUUCCCUGGCCAGUCUGUUCCAAUGCCCCGCCGCUCUUUCUGAGCAGAAACUGUUCCUAAUAUCCAACUCAAACUCUCUCAGGCACAAUUUAAGGCCGUUACCUCUCAUCCUAUCUGGUCCGGUUUCCCAGGAUGGGCCAAAAUACAAGGCUGUAAAGAAAGCAGCCCUGUGGCUGUAAUUUAAGAGAACGUUAUAUCUGCUUGGAAAAAAAGUGUGACUCUGAAAAUUACACGGCAGAGAAUUCAAAGUAUGGAUGGCAACAGUAAAAAAAAAUAAUUAAAAAAAUGGCUCUAAAA